rnacentral:misc_RNA from 1 species
UGGGCGCGGAGGGGAGGG